rnacentral:misc_RNA from 1 species
AAGUCGUAACAAGGUUUCCGUAGGUGGACCUGCGGAAGGAUCAUUACGAUUUAGUAGCCUAGCUGCUAUCAGGUGGGUUCGUUAGCCUGCAAUACGCUUAAUCGCUGAUGAGCAGCAGACCCCCUGUUUGUACCCUUGUUUUUUGCGUACCAAAGUUUCCUCGGCGGGCUUGCUCGCCGGAUGGACAAUACGUAUAACCUUUUUGAAUAUUCCAAUCAGCGUCGUGAAAAACUUGAAUAAUUACAA